UUAACACAUGCAAGACGAACGGGAUCCCUGGCAGCUUGCUGUCGGGGUGAGAGUGGCGAACGGGUGAGUAAUGCGUGACCAACCUGCCCUGUGCACCGGAAUAGCUCCUGGAAACGGGUGGUAAUACCGGAUGCUCCGCUCCAUCGCAUGGUGGGGUGGGAAAUGCUUUUGCGGCAUGCGAUGGGGUCGCGUCCUAUCACCUUGUUGCCGGGGUGAUGGCCCACCAAGGCGUUGACGGGUAGCCCGCCUGAGAGGGUGACCGGCCUCAUUGGGACUGAGAUACGGCGCAGACUCCUACGGCAGGCAGCAGUGGGGAAUAUUGCACAAUGGGCGCAAGCCUGAUGCAGCCACGCCGCGUGCGGGAUGGAGGCCUUCGGGUUGUAAACCGCUUUUGUUCAAGGGCAAGGCACGGUUUCGGCCGUGGUGAGUGGAUUGUUCGAAUAAGCACCGGCUAACUACGUG
rnacentral:rRNA from 1 species